GCUAAGUACCCAAAAGUUCCCAUUACUCGUGUGGAGACGUGAGUAUCAGAGUCAUAAUUCAACCUUGCAAGCCCAAAAUCAGCAACCUUUGCAUCAAAAUUGUCAUCAAGAAGAAUAUUGGAGGCCUUGAUAUCGCGAUGUAUGAUCUUGGGAUGACAUUCUUCAUGCAGAUAUGCCAAUCCUCUUGCAGAACAUAAAGUAACUCUCAUCCUAGUUUCCCAGCUUAGUGGGGGAUGCUCCUUGCCUGCAGUUAUGUCUCCAUGCAAGUGGAACUCCAAAGUUUUGUUUGGGACAAAUUCAUAAACUAACAGCCGCUGCACCCCUGAAAUGCAGUGUCCAACCAAUGAAACAAGAUGCUUGUGAUGAACGUGGCUAAUA
rnacentral:misc_RNA from 1 species